UACGAAGGGGGCUAGCGUUGCUCGGAAUCACUGGGCGUAAAGGGUGCGUAGGCGGGUCUUUAAGUCAGACGUGAAAUCCCUCGGCUUAACCGGGGAACUGCGUCUGAUACUGGAUGGCUUGAGUUUGGGAGAGGGACGCGGAAUUCCAGGUGUAGCGGUGAAAUGCGUAGAUAUCUGGAGGAACACCGGUGGCGAAGGCGGCAUCCUGGACCAACACUGACACUGAGGAGCGAAAGCCAGGGGAGCAAACGGG
rnacentral:rRNA from 1 species